GACAGAGGGGGCAAGCGUUGCUCGGAAUUACUGGGCGUAAAGGGCGCGUAGGCGGUCAAGUAAGUGGAAUGUGAAAUCCCUCGGCUUACCCGAGGACCUGCAUCCCAAACUGCUUGGCUUGAGUACGGGAGAGGAUGAGGGAAUUCCUGGUGUAGCGGUGAAAUGCGUAGAUAUCAGGAGGAACACCGGUGGCGAAGGCGCUCAUCUGGCCCGAUACUGACGCUGAUGCGCGAAAGCUAGGGAGCAAAGCGGG
rnacentral:rRNA from 1 species